rnacentral:rRNA from 1 species
AACGAACGCUGGCGGCAGGCCUAACACAUGCAAGUCGAACGCUGUAGCAAUACAGAGUGGCAGACGGGUGAGUAACACGUGGGAACGUACCUUUCGGUUCGGAAUAACUCAGGGAAACUUGAGCUAAUACCGGAUACGUGCGAGAGCAGAAAGAUUUAUCGCCGAAAGAUCGGCCCGCGUCCGAUUAGCUUGUUGGUGAGGUAAUGGCUCACCAAGGCGACGAUCGGUAGCUGGUCUGAGAGGAUGAUCAGCCACACUGGGACUGAGACACGGCCCAGACUCCUACGGGAGGCAGCAGUGGGGAAUAUUGGACAAUGGGCGAAAGCCUGAUCCAGCCAUGCCGCGUGAGUGAUGAAGGCCCUAGGGUUGUAAAGCUCUUUCGCCAGGGACGAUAAUGACGGUACCUGGAUAAGAAGCCCCGGCUAACUUCGUGCCAGCAGCCGCGGUAAU